rnacentral:rRNA from 1 species
CAGCAGCCGCGGUAAUACGUAGGUGGCAAGCGUUGUCCGGAAUUAUUGGGCGUGAAGGGCUCGCAGGCGGUUUCUUAAGUCUGAUGUGAAAGCCCCCGGCUCAACCGGGGAGGGUCAUUGGAAACUGGGAAACUUGAGUGCAGAAGAGGAGAGUGGAAUUCCACGUGUAGCGGUGAAAUGCGUAGAGAUGUGGAGGAACACCAGUGGCGAAGGCGACUCUCUGGUCUGUAACUGACGCUGAGGAGCGAAAGCGUGGGGAGCGAACAGGAUUAGAUACCCGAGUAGUCCCUGUCUCUUAUAC